ACAAAAAAAUUCUUCCUAGAUAUCUACACUGUGAGAUUCCUGAUGAGUUUCUAGAACCUCAAUUACAGGCACCUCUGCUUCGCUGAGCCCCAAAUUCAUGUUCAGCCUGCCCACUGAACCAAUAGCAUGGCCAUCUCCCCUCAUUUCUCAGGAAAGCCCAUUCAGACUGCAGGGCCCUUCCUCGGGUCUCCAGCGCUGACCAGCCCGAUGCUUCUUUCCCCUCCCACCAGCAGAGGGCGUCCUCCCCUCCAUUCUAACUCGCUUGGCCCGUGUCGCAGCCUGCUCAUUUUUCUGCCCUUCACUCUCCGCUGGCUCCUUUCUCAACAUCAAAACUUCUCAUCUUUCCAAAUCAACAGCCCUCAAAUCCAUGCCCCGCUAGAAAGUAUCCUCUUCCUGUCCCCCUCUUCUCUCUCUCCAGCGCUGAAGAAGAAUCUCAGAACAGGGACAUGGCUGGCUCAGUCUGUAGAGCAUACAACACUUGAUGUCAAAGUUGACGUGACUAACUUGGAGACCAGUGAGUCUUGGCCAUCUCUGUAACCCUGUCUACAGAGAAUGCAUCCAAUCAAUGUUGCAUUGAUGCAUGGCAGAUACACGAAGUCUCCAACUCCCUCUGGCCUGAAUGAGUUGUUUUGUAAGGUGGUAAGCUUCCCAAUAUCGCUGGGGGUAGUCAAGACUGGCAGGAUAGCCCUGAAUGGUAGCACCCAGGGAUUUCCCCCAGUUUGAUAUCCCUCCUCUACUAUUCUGCAUUCGUUCUCUACUUCCUAGACCGCCUCUUUAGUGAGCCAACUCCUACUCCACCGAAGAUGCUCCUAGACCCCCUGCCAAAUAGCACCUCAUUAUCCUCCAGGGCUUCUAUAACCCUUUGCAAACCACGUUCUUCUCAGUGCCAGGACUGUACCUAGAGUCCACGCCAGGUCUCCAUUCUCUGGGAACUUCCACCUUGCUCUGCCUACGUUCUUAGCCUGGCCUCUAUUAUAAACCCACCAGCCUCCAAAUUGCUCUGCUCCCCCGCCCCCGCUCCUGCCUCUACUCCGCUGUAUUCCUGUCCCCGCCCCCUUAAUCCUCACCAGCAGGUUUCCUCCCCGGGCCCCGCCUCCCAAGACUUUGCUCGGUAGGCCCCGCCCCUCUCGUUUCCUACCACACCCACCCCGUCCCAGCCUCCCAGUGGCGCCCCCUUCAGUAGGCCGGGGCCUCCGCCUCCACCUGUAGAGGGUCUUGCGUGGUGCGAGCUGGUCCUCACUCAGGCCCUGCGCGAUGUAAUAAUCGCCGACGAGGCCGAGGAUGCGGCCCCAGAAGAGGACCCGAUCGAAGCGGUAGUCACGUUUCACCAGCAUAAGGGAGGUAAGCAGCGAGGCCCGACGGUCGGGGCUGAGGCCCUGCCCACUGCCGGACGCCAGCUCCAGCGACAGCAGGAGGCUCUCUGCGUCCAUUGCGCCCAAGACUCUGCUCAACGCCGGCCAGGUUGCUAGGAGAAGCUGUCUCCAUGGAGACCAAAGCUCUGCCCUCUCGCGCUGGAAGGACUCCGCCGACCGCCUGCGGACCCUGCCGUGUCAGAGCCUCAAGCCAGCCCUGCUCCGCACCCAGCCCUUCAGAAAAACUGGGGCACACACUAGCUCCAGUACUCUUUCCUUCUCGCAUUAGGACCUCAUGUGUUCAGCUGUGACAGUAAUGGAGUAGUUUCCCCUAACAUAGCAGGUUCCCUGUCAGGGCCCAGUGUGAAGCCGGAGAAGGGAGUCCUGAGGCUCUCCAGCUCUACCACUUUGGGCAGACUGGAUGAGGUUAACUAUUUCAGAGUAAGACCCCAGAGGACGUCCAGCACAGUGUGCAGCACUAAGCCUCUGAGCCAAGUGGACGGGGUUGGAGGCCAGGAUUCACCAUGCAGGCAAGCCGUUCCGUUUCCCAAGCCUCAUCUAUAAACUGGGAACAAUACGUACUAUGGGACGUUGUUACAUGAGAUAAUGUAUGUAAAGUGCUUCAAACGUAAUAUAAAAUAUCAACUAUUUUUUGUUUCCUUAAAAGACAAAAACAUUCUUCUUAAAAAUAAAAAAAUUGUAUAUAUUUAUACUGUUCCCA